GAUGAACGCUGACAGAAUGCUUAACACAUGCAAGUCGAUUCGAUUUACCUUCGGGUAUUGAGGAUGGCGGACGGGUGAGUAACGCGUAAGGAACUUGCCUCUUGGUCUGGGACAACUGUUGGAAACGACAGCUAAUACCGGAUAUUAUGAGAUUCUCGCAUGGGAAACUUAUGAAAGCUAUAUGCGCCAAGAGAGAGCCUUGCGUUCCAUUAGCUAGUUGGUGGGGUAACGGCCCACCAAGGCGACGAUGGAUAGCCGGCCUGAGAGGGUGAACGGCCACAAGGGGACUGAGACACGGCCCUUACUCCUACGGGAGGCAGCAGUGGGGAAUAUUGGACAAUGGGCCACAAGCCUGAUCCAGCAAUUCUGUGUGCACGAUGAAGGUCUUCGGAUUGUAAAGUGCUUUCAGUUGGGAAGAAGAAAGUGACGGUACCAACAGAAGAAGCGACGGCUAAAUACGUGCCAGCAGCCGCGGUAAUACGUAUGUCGCAAGCGUUAUCCGGAUUUAUUGGGCGUAAAGCGCGUCUAGGCGGAAAAAUAANUCUGAUGUUAAAAUGCGGGGCUCAACUCCGUAUUGNNUUGGAAACUGUUUUUCUAGAGUACUGGAGAGGUGGGCGGAACUACAAGUGUAGAGGUGAAAUUCGUAGAUAUUUGUAGGAAUGCCNAUGGAGAA
rnacentral:rRNA from 1 species